CUUCUAACUCCGCCUGUAGUCCCUCCGUGGGUUACUGCCGGUCCCAAGCCCGGAUAAAGGAGGAGGGUUAAG
rfam:Schistosoma mansoni, Puerto Rico, WGS project CABG01000000 data, contig: 0144